rnacentral:rRNA from 11 species
GAUUGGGUCAAACGCCCCUAAAGGCAAAAGAUCCUGUCUGAUCUCAAAAACUAAGCAAGGGCAGCCCUGGUUACUACUUGGACCGGAGUCUGUCAGUGAACACCAGGUGCUGUAAGCU